rnacentral:rRNA from 1 species
UACGUAGGGUGCAAGCGUUGUCCGGAAUUAUUGGGCGUAAAGAGCUCGUAGGCGGUUUGUCGCGUCUGCUGUGAAAAACCCCGAGGCUCAACCUCGGGGCCUGCAGUGGGUACGGGGCAGACUAGAGUGCGGUAGGGGGAGAUUGGAAUUCCUGGUGUAGCGGUGGAAUGCGCAGAUAUCAGGAGGAACACCAAUGGCGAAGGCAGAUCUCUGGGCCGUAACUGACGCUGAGGAGCGAAAGCAUGGGGAGCGAACAGG